rnacentral:rRNA from 1 species
UACGUAGGGGGCGAGCGUUGUCCGGAAUCACUGGGCGUAAAGCGCACGUAGGCGGACUCUUAAGUCGGUGGUGAAAUCCUGGAGCUCAACUCCAGAACUGCCUUCGAUACUGAGAGUCUUGAGUCCGGGAGAGGUGAGUGGAACUGCGAGUGUAGAGGUGAAAUUCGUAGAUAUUCGGAGGAACACCAGUGGCGAAGGCGGCUCACUGGCUCGGUACUGACGCUGAGGUGGCGAAAGCAUGGGGAGCGAACAGG